AACGAACGCUGGCGGCAUGCUUAACACAUGCAAGUCGAACGGAAAGGCCCUUCGGGGUACUCGAGUGGCGAACGGGUGAGUAACACGUGGGUGAUCUGCCCUGCACUUUGGGAUAAGCAUGGGAAACUGGGUCUAAUACCGAAUAUGACCACUUCUUGGAUGUUGUGGUGGAAAGCUUUUGCGGUGUGGGAUGAGCCUGCGGCCUAUCAGCUUGUUGGUGGGGUAAUGGCCUACCAAGGCGGCGACGGGUAUCCGGCCUGAGAGGGUGUACGGACACAUUGGGACUGAGAUACGGCCCAGACUCCUACGGGAGGCAGCAGUGGGGAAUAUUGCACAAUGGGCGCAAGCCUGAUGCAGCGACGCCGCGUGGGGGAUGAAGGCCUUCGGGUUGUAAACUCCUUUCGCUAUCGACGAAGCCACUUGUGGUGACGGUAGGUAGAUAAGAAGCACCGGCUAACUACGUGCCAGCAGCCGCCGUAA
rnacentral:rRNA from 1 species